AGAGAAUGCCACAAAUACGCAUUCAUUAAUAUUUCCCAAUGGCGGUGGUCAAUAAGGAAAAAGACGGAGGAUGCUGGAGAUUUUGGUGGAAUUAUGGAAUGUGGCUGCCGUUAUCAAUUGCGUGUGUGGAGUAAUUUUCCAUGUUGGACAACAAUAAGGUAAGUGAAAAUAAAUUUUAAGUGUGUAGAUUUUAAAUAAAUGUAUUGAUUAAGAUAAAAGUGCUAUUAGGAAUUUUGGAAAUUACAGUGAGUGUAAAAAGUGUGUGUACAAAAAAAAUUAAUUAAAAUGAAAGUUUUUUACAGUGAAAGUAAAGAGUUGUUAGGGAUAAAAAAAAUUAAAAUUAGAAAAUACAGUGAGUGCCAAAAGUGCUCGGACGGACAAUCAGAAUGUAAAAAAAAAUUUAUAAAUUAAAGUGAAAAAAAUAUCUUGCCGGUCGAUAAAAAAUUAAAUAUAAGAAAUUUUCAAGAAAUUACAGUGCGGACCAAAAAUGUUGUGACGAAAAUUACCGUGUAAAAAAAAUUAAAAAGUAUACUAUUAACAAAAAUAAAUUUAAACUACUGCUAUUAAGGCUGUAUAUAAAAAUCAAAAGUGGAAUUUUACAGUGUGAAACAAAAGUGGUAUAAAAAAAUUAUAAAGUGAAAAUAAAAAUAAAGUGAGAAUAAAAAUAAAUUAUUGUGCAAAUGAAAAAUUUACGGUGCCAAACGAAAAAAAUUAAAUGGAAAUUACAGUGACUAGCAAAAGUGUUCGGUAUUAAAAAAAAUUAAAGUA